GCCACAAAAAUAACUCUGGGCUGGGAGUCUUGUCAGAGUGACGUAUUUAGUUAGCAGAGAGGGGUAUCAAAUAUCUAUCUCUCAACCCAAGGGCUGAAAGUACACUCGUGGCACUGAUGGGCUCCUCCUCCCCCCCACUGAAUGAAGAAGGUUGGGGUGGGGUGGGCAGGGCCCGGGCAGGGGGGGGGUAGAGGAUGCACAUUUCUUUUUCCCCUCCUUUUUCCCCCCAGGAGCAACAAAAGCCAACUGUUCAAGGUAGCUGCGUAUGCCAGCUCCCAAGUCCAUAUACAGAGUCCCAUAUACUCAAAUGGGUCAGGGACAGCUGAGAGCAAGAAAGGAGGGGAGAGAGUGGAAGAAAUGGAGGAAAGGGCUUUUGUUGAUGUUGUUUUGUUGAUGGAACAGGGUGGGCAUGAGUUACCUUCUUAUUUCUCUAGACUAGACUAGGCCUCCCACUACAGCUGACCAACUGGUCCCACUUUGUCCAACACUGCACUAGAUGGAAAACUGCAUUCCGGGAACCCCCUCAACUCUGGAAACUGGGACGGUGGGUCAGUCUCCCUCCCAUAGGUUUGGCUAAGUUUUCACAAGGACGUAGAAAAUUAUGACCAAGAUAAGGUAAUUCAUUUUGUUUUGUUUUGUUUUAAGGAUUUUAUUUAUUCAUGAGAGACACACAGAGAGCGAGAAAGGCAGAGACACAGGCAGAAGGAGAAGCAGGCUCCAUGCAGGGAGCCCCAUGUGGGACUGGAUCCCGGGACUUUGGGAUCAGGCCUUGAGCCAAAGUCAGCCGCUCAACUGCUGAGCCACCCAGGAGUCCCAGGUAAUUCAUUUUGAUUCAAAAUUAUUCAAAGAAUGACCUAAAUAAGCUAUUUUAUCAUAGAUGCAAAGGCUCUAUUUCCAGGAAUUCGAAGAAAGAGGCAUACGCUCCAUUCCCCCCCCACCCCCAUUUUGGAGUCUAGAGCUUUCCAGGUGGAAAAAUCACCUGUUCCAUCCGCUCAGCUUUUCAGAUAAAGUUUCCAGACACAUUUCUGCCAUUCCAAAAUGCCCAGAACUCCCGCCGCAGUUUGGUUAGGGACCCUUUUCUGUAUCACCCUGAAAAAAAAAAGCAAAAGUUUCAUGCUUGAAACUCUGCUCUUAACGUCUUCUUAUCCCCUGAUCUCUUUCCCGGGUCUCAUUGCCUCCCUGGGGCACCCCGGUCACAUUCUGAGCUGUGUCCUUUAAUAUAUUCACCUACAGCCUGUUAGCAUUCCCUUGUUCCUAAUAUGGAUAAUCACCGCCCCUGAUCCUUUUCUUCUCAGCUGCGGCCUCCCCACUCAUCCUUCAUCUACACCCAUCUGGGCCCCCCCCUCCUCCCCCCAACCUUGUAAGGAGACAAAUGAGGAUAAGCAAUGCCGGGCCCCAGACUCUCUGGCAGCAUCCGAGCUUUGACAGGCAUUCGUCCCCAAGCUCCAUUCUUAUUUAAAAUCAAAACGUCUCUAAACUCCUCGGAGCUAAUUAUAAAAGCAACUAGCUGGGCCUCCGCGGGUCGCGGGCCUGCGCGGUCACCAGGCCGCUGCAGCCCGAGUCCACCUGGCCGCCGCCUGCAACCAGCUCGGGGGGCGGGGACGGGGGGAGGCCCUGCCCCCGCGGGCGCUACCUCCUCCGAGCCCGGGUGCAGCCUGUUUACCUGGCGAGGCCCACGUGACCGGCCCAGGAGGAAAUGCUGAGCUCACCGUGCCCCUGGCACACGUGCGCCCGCCCGCCCGCGCCCGGCCUCGGGCCUCCGCCGCCCCUCCCCCGGCGCCCGCGCCUUCUCCCACUUAUUUCUCUGACUCUCCCGGUCACACUUUCCUUUGUUUUCUCUCCUCGCAGGCUGUCUCCCACACGGUGGGGCGCACGCGCGCGCACGCACACACUUCUGGGAAUCCUCUUCCCUCCUCUCAACCAGCCUCUCUGCCCCCUUUCAAUCUCUUUCAGAUCUGUGGCCAUGGAGUCUCCACUGGUUUUAAAAAUACACUUCCUCUUUCCCUAUAGAUUGGAGAUUUAUUAAAAAAAAAAAAAAAAAA
rnacentral:lncRNA from 1 species